rnacentral:rRNA from 1 species
CCUACGGGUGGCAGCAGUGGGGAAUAUUGGGCAAUGGACGCAAGUCUGACCCAGCAACGCCGCGUGAAGGAAGAAGGCUUUCGGGUUGUAAACUUCUUUUAAGGGGGAAGAGCAGAAGACGGUACCCCUUGAAUAAUCCACGGCUAACUACGUGCCAGCAACCGCGGUAAUACGUAAGUGGCAAGCGUUGUCCGGAUUUACUGGGGGUAAAGGGCGUGUUGCCGGGCCGAAAAGUCAGCUGUGAAAUAUGCGGGCUUAAACCGCGAACUGGAUUUGUAACUAUUGGUGUUGAGGAGCGGAGAGGGCAGGGGAAUUCCUGGUGUAGGGGGGAAAUGCGUAGAUAUAAGGAAGGAAAACAGGGGCGAAGGGGGAUGACUGGACGGCAAAUGACGGUGAGGCGCGAAAGCGUGGGGAGCAAACAGGAAUAGAUAACCUAGUAGUC